rnacentral:rRNA from 1 species
UUAAGUGACGAAGCGUAUACGGUGGAUGCCUUGGCAGUUAGAGGCGAUGAAGGACGUGUAAGUCUGCGAAAAGCUGUGGUGAGCCGACAAAAUGCAUUUGAGCCACAGAUGUCCGAAUGGGGAAACCCACCUGUUUACAGGUAUCGUUACAUGAAUACAUAGUGUAACGAGGCGAACGAGGGGAACUGAAACAUCUAAGUACCCUUAGGAAAAGAAAUCAAACGAGAUUCCCCUAGUAGCGGCGAGCGAACGGGGAACAGCCCUUAAGCUGUUUAGUGUGUAGUGGAAUCCUUUGGGAAGAGGAGCGAUACAGGGUGAUAGCCCCGUACACAAAGCGUGCUUUACAGUGAAAUCGAGUAGGUCGGGACACGUGUUAUCUUGACUGAAUAUGGGGGGACCAUCCUCCAAGGCUAAAUACUCCUAACUGACCGAUAGUGAACCAGUACCGUGAGGGAAAGGCGAAAAGAACCCCUGUGAGGGGAGUGAAAUAGAACCUGAAACCGUAUACGUACAAGCAGUGGGAGCCCUUCGGGGUGACUGCGUACCUUUUGUAUAAUGGGUCAGCGACUUAUAUUUAGUAGCAAGGUUAAGCGAAUAGCGGAGCCGUAGCGAAAGCGAGUGUUAACUGCGCGUUGAGUUGCUAGGUAUAGACCCGAAACCCGGUGAUCUAGCCAUGAGCAGGUUGAAGGUUGAGUAACAUCAACUGGAGGACCGAACCCACUGACGUUGAAAAGUCAGGGGAUGACUUGUGGCUGGGGGUGAAAGGCCAAUCAAACCGGGAGAUAGCUGGUUCUCCCCGAAAUCUAUUUAGGUAGAGCCUCGGACGAAUUCCAUUGGGGGUAGAGCACUGUUAAGGCUAGGGGGUCAUCCCGACUUACCAACCCUUUGCAAACUCCGAAUACCAAUGAGAACUAUCCGGGAGACACACGGCGGGUGCUAACGUCCGUCGUGGAGAGGGAAACAACCCAGACCGCCAGCUAAGGUCCCAAAAUAUUGCUAAGUGGGAAACGAUGUGGGAAGGCACAGACAGCUAGGAGGUUGGCUUAGAAGCAGCCACCCUUUAAAGAAAGCGUAAUAGCUCACUAGUCGAGUCGGCCUGCGCGGAAGAUGUAACGGGGCUAAGCAAUAUACCGAAGCUGCGGCAGCACAGUUUACUGUGCUGGGUAGGGGAGCGUUGUGUAAGUGGAUGAAGGUGAGUUGUAAAGCUUGCUGGACAUAUCACAAGUGCGAAUGCUGACAUGAGUAACGAUAAUGGGAGUGAAAAACUCCCACGCCGGAAGACCAAGGUUUCCUGUCCCAUGCUAAUCAGGGCAGGGUAAGUCGGCCCCUAAGGCGAGGCAGAAAUGCGUAGUCGAUGGGAAACGGAUUAAUAUUUCCGUACUUAUAUAAUCAGUGAUGGAGGGACGGAGAAGGCUAAGCAAGCUUGGCGUUGGUUGUCCAAGUGAAAGCAAGUAGGCCGAGUGUUUAGGUAAAUCCGGACACUUAAAGCUGAGAUGCGAGACGAGCUACUACGGUGGUGAAGUUGUUGAUGCCCUGCUUCCAGGAAAAGCUUCUAAACUUAUGAUUAUAUGAACCGUACCCCAAACCGACACAGGUGGUCAGGUAGAGAAUACUAAGGCGCUUGAGAGAACUCGGGUGAAGGAACUCGGCAAAAUUGUACCGUAACUUCGGGAGAAGGUACGCCCUUGUUUGUGAUAGGACUUGCUCCUUGAGCAGAUGAGGGCCGCAGUGACCAGGUGGCUGGGACUGUUUAUUAAAAACACAGCACUCUGCUAACUCGCAAGAGGACGUAUAGGGUGUGACACCUGCCCGGUGCCGGAAGGUUAAUUGAUGGGGUUAUCUUCGGAGAAGCUCUUGAUCGAAGCCCCGGUAAACGGCGGCCGUAACAAUAACGGUCCUAAGGUAGCGAAAUUCCUUGUCGGGUAAGUUCCGACCUGCACGAAUGGUGUAACGAUCUGGGCACUGUCUCAGCCAUGAGCUCGGUGAAAUUGUAGUCUCGGUGAAGAUGCCGAGUACCCGCAACGGGACGAAAAGACCCCGUGCACCUUUACUAUAGCUUAGUAUUGACUUCGGAUAAGUGAUGUGUAGGAUAGGUGGGAGACUUUGAAGCUGUGUCGCCAGGCAUGGUGGAGUCGUCCUUGAAAUACCACCCUUCGCUUAUUUGGAGCCUAACCCCGAGAGGGGAACAGUGCUUGGUGGGUAGUUUGACUGGGGUGGUCGCCUCCAAAAGAGUAACGGAGGCUUCUAAAGGUACCCUCAGCACGCUUGGUAACCGUGCGUAGAGUGCAAUGGCAUAAGGGUGCUUGACUGUGAGACUUACAAG